GUGGAGUUACAAGUUAAUCUUCUCGUUCAACAAAUGUUCAAUAAUGAAUGUAUUAAUAUUCAGCUGACUACGAACCCUUUAUUGCUUUUAAUUCAAGAUCAUUUACUUACUAAACAACCCAUGAGUUGCAUCGCCCUGUCCAUAUAGGCUAGUGCAUUAGUUGCUUUUACCCCAGAAUUCCCGCCACAUAUUUAUAAACAUGAAGCCGAUUAUCACUUGCAUAAAGGAUUUUGAUCUGGACUACCCAGGUGAACAUGAUCAUCAACUAAUCUUUAAUCUAACCUUGAACUGAUGAUUGAUAAAUAAUCAUUCAAGUUGGGAAGGAUGACGUAAUAUCAUGCUCUGCUGACAUGACACAAGAGACUCAUUUGGAACAGCUGAUAGUCACCUCAGAAGAUGGAGAGGCAAUUUGGUAUUUUUCAAAAUACCUUCUCCAUGAUCCAUAAUACAUAAAAAAACACACAUACGCCUGGACAGUGUAUACAACUCUAGAGGGCUUUUAAUUUGAAAACAGGGCUUUUAAUUUGAAAUACAUAUUAGAACUGGAGAAAUACCAGAAGAGACUGUGGCUUUGUCUCUUCCCUCUUCUGCUCCGCAAAACCGAGAGACCGGCGGAACAAGUCCAUUAAGCGAGUUCAUCUCCAACGAAGGUUUUACCGCGUUAAAGACACUUUAGAAAGAAAGAAUGGCGCUACAAAGAAUUCUGAUGGAGAAGAAAGGGACGCUGCUCUCUCGGCUCCAACCUCUACACAUUGGUGUGGUCUGCAUUAAAGACCAGCCAAGGGUUGUCUCAUGGAAUUUCACCGACAGCGGUGAGGCCAAACCAUCAGUAACAAAAGAAAAUAGGAUGGUUGUAAUUAGUGAUGGAUGUUCUGUAGCUAAACUCCUGCUUUUUGAGGAGUACUCAGCUAAGGUAACUCUUGGUCAGGGGUAUGUGAUGAGACAUUACACCCUUAGAGGACAGUCCCCACCUUACCAGAUCAGUGUUUCCAGGGACACACAGUUUUUCAGUUCGACACCAGUGCUGGUGUCACAGAAGCUGCAGAUGGAGGCGCAGAGGCUCCUCAAUCCCGUCUCCAAGAUGAGUCCCUUGAAAGGCAUCAAGAAGACGCAGGGAUUGGUGACGGUGGAGGGGGAGGUGGUGAAGAUCUCCGCCAUCAAACGGAUGCAGGUGAAGAACAAUGUGGUGCCCCUGAGGAUGCUGAAUUUACAGGAAGACAGCACACAGGUUGCAGUAAACCUGUGGAGGGAGGCAGCUGUGUUGCCACUCCAGAAGGGAGCCCAAAUAAAGCUUACACAUUUGAGAUCAGUCACAUCAAAAUAUGGACACCACCUGCAGUCCACAACCUUUACAGCAUUUGAGGACGUCCCAGUCAAAACUUGCAUUCUGGGUGUGAUGGGAGUGCUGGAGUGCGAUGACAAGCCGGGAAUGUUGCAGCUUCUGGUGCAGGAGAAUGAUACUGUGUUUGAAACUGAGCUGGCUGUUUGGCACCCAAUAGGGAAGAAAUUGUGCAGAGUGCCAUUCAAAGUCAAAGUUCAAACCGUUGGAAAAAAGAUAAUUAGUGUUGAGGCCGUUGAGGAAGAGGAGGAAGAGGAGGAAGAGGAGGAAAAGGAAGAGGUGUACUGUACUUAAGCGAAAAUUUGAGACAUUCCUCAAUAACAUUAAGCUUGACUUCAACCACCGAGCGCCAACUGAGGGUAGAUCUUCCCCUAAAUCUCUGAAGGCUAUCCGACACACUGGCAGCUAACUGAGUGUACCAUAACAGGCAUGUAAUAAAAAAAACCCUGUGCUGAGAGUCUCUACUGAGUUUUUGUGUCAUUGUCCAUUGUCGGGAGUUUGAC
rnacentral:lncRNA from 15 species